rnacentral:rRNA from 1 species
AUACACCUCGCUUCGGAGCGUAAGGCGUCGCCCGCCGGACGAACCUU